rnacentral:misc_RNA from 1 species
CGCAUGCGUGCGACGGCGCUUGCGGGUUUGCUGCUGCUGCUGCUUCUGCUGCGAAGGAAAAGGUUCGGAGGAGAUUCGCUCACCCUGCGAUGGUGAAGGCGACUGCACAGACACCAACACGCACCGCAGCACUGCAUUGUUAUCCACCACCACCGCCUCCUAACCCACUCUAGCAUCCCUGCACGGUGCGGCUGUGCGGUGGUGUGUGCCGCGGACUGCUUCCUCUGCACUGGUAUUCCUUUCUUGCCGCUACACUCACCGUCGUCAUGACGACGCUCGUACUGUGCGACGGCUCGGAGGGGUCUCUGCGAUCGAUCGAGGUGGCGUGCGCCGGCAACGCCACCCCCUCAUCGUCGAUGCCAUCGCAGGAAGGCUCGCUCCUACUCCUCCACGUCUGGGAUGCCCCAGUGACGCGAACGAGCAUCCUUCACCCCAGCGUUGGUGCCGAGGGCAUGUAUGCGCCUCGCCGAUCGGUUAGCAGCGCUGCCGCAGCAGCUGCUCACACCUCCGCUGGUGCCGGCGAGCACGGCGGUAGCUCCAUGCCGUGUGCCGACGUGCUCACCACGACGCUGCGAUACAUUCAUUCAAACAAGUACUUGAAGAACAAACUGCACUACACAGUGGAGACGGCUUGUGCCUCGACUGUCUUCGCCCGUGACAACACCGACCACAGCGUACUCCCCGAAGCUGGCGCUGCGCCAACAGGCGGUGCCGCGGCUUUGCAGGCAGCGCACGGCAGGUCUGGGCAAGGGCAGAAGCACGCCUCUUGUUUGCCUGGCGGUGCUGUUGCGGCUCACCGUCGCUCCGAUCGUCGCCCAUCGCAGAGGCAAAUCGACACGGCAGCGGAGAUCUCUGCUGGAAACAGCAACAACACCGGCGGCGGCACAGCGCCAGAGAGACAAGAAGCCCCCGUCAGCAUCCCAGAAAACGAGAAGAGAGCCAUGGCGGUGGUGAAGUUCGCCACCGCGCGCGCGGCGCACCACCAUGUCACAGCCGUCCUUCUCGGAGUCGGUCAGCGGCAAGAUGGGAAGGUGUGCACCGUCGGGGCGGUGGCGCAGGGGGUCCUUCUCGAGCUGCGCAGCCUCUACCCUCUGUACUACGUGAAAAAGGACGGUGUUAAGUGGCGCCCCGCGUUGUCGACUUCGACGACGACAGCCGCAGCGACCCCGCGUCGCUUCACGAUCGUAGUGACUGUGCCCUCAGACGCACGAUGGGAGUCAGCCGCGGCAGCCGAGACGAGGAGCGCCAACGAGGAGGUGGCCCCGCAAACGACUGCCUCGAUCGAGACGCCGUCAGUGGCACCUCCACAGGUGCCCAUGCACGUCCAGGAAACGGUAGCGGCGACGGUACAGUACCUGCAGACUCGCUGCAUGCGCCUCCACUCUGCUCCGCAGGUAGAACCGAUCACGUUUGCCGUGAUCGCCACGUCGAGCUCGCAGGAUGGCGACAGCAUAACGGAACCAGAUCGCAGCGAGAACAGCGGCCACGUCGCUGCUGGCCCCGGCGCUUCCGGUGGGGAAGAUGGCUCGACGCGGAUCAGCCCUCUUGAAGCCUACAAGCGGUAUCUUGAGUCGCUCCCCUUCGUGGAAUGCAAAUCGAUCCCCCCUGCCAAUGCAGCUGCGCCUCCGUUGUUGCCGGUGAGCAGCAUCAACCCUGCCGCUGUCGGUGAAGCCGAUAGGAUAGAGCAGCGGCAGCAGCCGGAAGAUGGUGCUGCGGCGAUGUGUGUUGAGGGCAGCGCUACAAUGGCACCCGCGCCGCGAGGAGCAGCCUCCCCGGUGAGGGUCUGUAUGCUCAAGGCCUCCAAAAAGAACCCGCUCCUCAGCCUCGAUUCAGAGCCGGAAGUGGCACUCCCGCAGAUUAUAAAGCAGGUCGGGUCGCUGAAGCCGGAGGUGCUGGUCAUGCCGAAGUCCCUGGUACCCGAGUCCCUGCAGCUGGCGCUGCUAGCCACCAGCAACCCGCACUGCAUUGUGCUCCCGUUCUGAGACACAGGGAUGCUUCGCUGGCGGUCGUUGGUGUGGGACUAUUGUUUGCCGCGUACGUGCGUCUGGCACGUCAGGUGUUGUCGCCUGUAUUUUCUUUCGUCGCUCCAACGUGUUCGUUUCGCCGCCGCGGGGCGCGUGAGCUCAAACCCCCCCCCCUCCACACACACUCCACCACUACACAGCCGAUCACACGCCCCCACCACAUCGCGCCGUGCGAAGCAGCCCGAGACACGCGUUACAGCAAUAUGCCGACUCGGUCAUCCAAGUACGGCCUCUGCCUCGAACUCUACCCACCCACCCCUCGCCUCACAGUCGCUCCUCUCAACGUGCCGGGUGGGGUACGUUGCAGUCACGUUGAGACGCUCUGCCCAUCAUAUGGAUGGCACAUGCAUGUUCGCUGUUGCGAGUCUCUCCAGCGCAACACUAUCCAGGACAUGGCCGCCGACAUCAGUCACCGUGCGUUGCUCUGACCUCCCCUACGUCGUAGGCACCUGACCGUGUCACCACCAAAGGUGGUUCGCCAUUUGGCAGAGAUAGGGGGGCUGCCUGGCUGCCUCCCACACAGAGUGUGGAUGUGCUGGACCGCGAGAUACCACGCACGGAGGUGCCCUCCGUCAUCCGGGUGCUGAUGGCGUUGCGGGCGAAAAAGGGGGCUUCAUGUAGUUAGCCCUAUGUACAUUCGAAGACACUGAGUGUCACGUGGCAGUCUCUGCAUGGAUGACCACACCACCUCUUCGCAUGUGUGUGUGUGUGUGUGUGUGUGUGUCGCUGCUGUUCAGCACGUGGCACUCGGUUACGUUAUUCGUACAGAACGAAAGAAGAAUUUUUUUAAAAGGCGAUGUGGCUUUGUUCUCUACCCGCUCUCCGUAUCCAUCCUGCGGCCGGGAUGCAGGAGGGGUGGCGCGUGUCAGGUGUCUGUCUGUGCAGCACGAGCCCCCUCGAGGUGUGCC